rnacentral:rRNA from 1 species
GGCUCAGUAGGUUGGUCGUGCCACCGGGACGUACUGGUCUCACUGAUUCCUCCUUCCUGAAGAACCGUAAUGCCAUUAAUUUGGUGUUGCGGGGAAACAGGACUGCUACUUUGAAAAAAUUAGAGUGUUUAAAGCAAGCUAACGCUUGAAUACAUUAGCAUGGAAUAAUGAAAUAGGACGAUCGAUCCUAUUUUGUUGGUUUCUAGGAUUGACGUA